rnacentral:rRNA from 1 species
GAUGAACGCUGGCGGCGUGCCUAAUACAUGCAAGUCGAGCGAACAGACGAGGAGCUUGCUCCUCUGACGUUAGCGGCGGACGGGUGAGUAACACGUGGAUAACCUACCUAUAAGACUGGGAUAACUUCGGGAAACCGGAGCUAAUACCGGAUAAUAUAUUGAACCGCAUGGUUCAAUAGUGAAAGACGGUUUUGCUGUCACUUAUAGAUGGAUCCGCGCCGCAUUAGCUAGUUGGUAAGGUAACGGCUUACCAAGGCAACGAUGCGUAGCCGACCUGAGAGGGUGAUCGGCCACACUGGAACUGAGACACGGUCCAGACUCCUACGGGAGGCAGCAGUAGGGAAUCUUCCGCAAUGGGCGAAAGCCUGACGGAGCAACGCCGCGUGAGUGAUGAAGGUCUUCGAAUCGUAAAACUCUGUUAUUAGGGAAGAACAAAUGUGUAAGUAACUAUGCACGUCUUGACGGUACCUAAUCAGAAAGCCGCGGCUAACUACGUG